rnacentral:rRNA from 1 species
AUAUCAAUAAGCGGAGGAAAAGAAACCAACAGGGAUUGCCCCAGUAGCGGCGAGCGAAGCGGCAAAAGCUCAGAUUUGAAAUCUGGCUGCCAUGCGGCGGCCCGAGUUGUAAUCUGCAGGGGAGUAUUCUGGUCGACGUGUCCCGCCUAAGUCCCCUGGAAUGGGGCGCCACAGAGGGUGAGAGCCCCGUGAGGCGGAGCGCGCCGGCCUAUGUGAAUCUCCUCCGACGAGUCGAGUAGUUUGGGAAUGCUGCUCUAAGCGGGAGGUAUAUUCCUUCUAAAGCUAAAUACCGGCUGGAGACCGAUAGCGCACAAGUAGAGUGAUCGAAAGGUGAAAAGCACUUUGGAAAGAGGGUGAAAUAGUACGUGAAAUUGUUGCAGGGGAAGCGCUCUUGACCAGUCGCGCGCCGCGGGGACCAGCCUCCGUUUAUUCGGUGGCGCACUCCUCGUGGUUGCGGGCCAGCACCGGCUCUAGCGGUGGGACAGGCGCAUCGGGAACGUGGCCCCGUCUUCGGACGGGGUGUUAUAGCCCGGUGUGCGUACUGCCUGCUGGGGCCGAGGUAUUCUGCGCCUAGGCUAGGAUGUUGGCAUAAUGGUCAUCAGCGU